CGGGCACGCUCCGGCGGUGGGUGCUCGAGGGACGGUAAGAGAGGCGGGAGGAUGAGGCAGCGUGGGGGAUGUUCCUGAGGGCCUGCCCCCUCCACCUGCAUGGCUCCUGGGCUGGCGCUGACGACACCCUGGAGGCCCCCGGACACACCGCCAGCCUUGAGUGCACGAUACAUUCAAGGGAGUUUUACAGGUUGGCCGACGUUUGAAAUGAAUGGUCGAAAGGAUGAAGCCGAGGACACGCUGAGAGUGAAAACAAGGGAAAAACAGAAGUCACGAGAUGGGAUGCAGAUGGUUAAUAAAUGAUGAGGAUA